rnacentral:rRNA from 1 species
GGUAAUGGCCUAACUAGGCGGAGACGGGAGACGGGGGAUCGGGGUUUGAUUCCGGAGAGGGAGCCUGAGAGAUGGCUACUACGUCCAAGGAUGGCAGCAGGCGCGAAACUUGCCUAAUCCUUUGGGGAGGCGGUUAUGAGAAGUGAGUUUUUUUCGAGUGUAAAGGAGUCGAGAUUGAUUGGAGGGCAAGUCGGGUGCCAGCAGCCGCGGUAAUACCUGCUCCAAUAGUGUCUAUGGUGAAUGCUGCAGUUA